UUCCUAGCAAUGCAAAGCAUAAAUAUGAACUUGUGCUUUAUAACACAACUUACACUACCCGCAGGUUUGCUUUGAUUUUGGUUAAUUGCUAGAUCUUUGAUGUUCAUACAACUCUACGAUAUUCUCGUACUCUGACUUUCGAAACAAAAACUCUAAAAAUAAGAUGAGCUUUUUGGAGAUCAAAGCUCUUAAAGCUAUCAAUCUCCUAUAAUUUUUAUUCUAUUAUGG
rnacentral:lncRNA from 1 species